UUUAAUUAAGCUCAUGAGCAAAGAGGAUCUAAAUCAGAUAAGGGAAAGGAGAAAGCAAUCGAGUAGCCUAUCCGCAGUUGUUCAAAUAAAUCCGAGAUUAUCAAAUUUGGCCUUUGCUCGGGGAUCGUCAACAACUCGUCACACUAUCACUAUCCAUUGUUUGGUACUGCUAUAUUUUGGAUUAUUUUAUGGCAUGUAUAGAAUAAACUAGUAGCGGAAUAAUAUUCUGGUUAAUGUAUAUAAGCCAUGCGAAAAUGGCAUCUUUUGAAUGUGUACUUAUAGAAGUUUAAUUUUAUUCCUGGCUGUAUUUAGCAUUUAUCUAAA